rnacentral:lncRNA from 1 species
UUGAACCAAGUGAAGAGAAAGAUCUCCAUAAGAUAGCCGUGCAAAGCUCGGGUCACUUCAAGGUAUGAAGGCCGGAAGUGCAAAAUUGGUGUAAAGUCACCAAGACACCAAAGUGCAAAAUUGGUGUAAACACAUAAGACGAGUCAAGGCCAAAGAUCUCAAGACAAGGCCGAAGACGAGACACCAAUGUGCAAAAUUGGUGUCAAAGUUAUCAAGACCCAAUGUGCAAAAUUAGUGUCAAAGUUAUCAUGACCUAAUGUGCAUAAUUGGUGUCAAAAGUAUCAAGACCGAGGAUGCAAAAUGAAGUCUAUGCAUGAAUACAAGAAUGUGCAAAACUCGUGUCACCUAGUGAAGAUAAUAAUGUGCAAGAUUGGUGUCACAUAAGAGAAGCCCAUGAGAGACCUUCUAGAAGACCUAAGAGCCGUUGGAGACAAAGGAAGGAGACUCAAAUUCAAACUUGGUCUUGGUCAAAGUUGGACCACAACCUUCUAGAAGCUAUUUUGAAUUCAAUGGUGGAGAUUUAAAGAGAGAAAAGAAGGGCUAGGAUUAAAGGGAAUUGUGAGACAUCUUAACCUAGUUCUCCUUCUAUAUAAAGCCUUGUAAUCUCAUUGUAAAGGUUAACACAUCAAUAAGAAAAGACAAGCUCUUAUCAAUUUCGUGUAGCUCUCUCUUCUUUACUUGUGUUCAACCAAAGUGUUACAAUGUAGAGAGAUAGUGUUACACGAUUUAGGGCUGCCUCUAAGCAGCCUAUUGCUUGUCAUACUACUCUUAAAUACACCUUAAACUCUUCUUAAUCUCUUAUUUAUGUUGUUUACUCUAGCUAAAUGAUUCAUAGAUUCGUUUCUCUCUAAGUACACAAACCUUUAGUGUUGUGUUACUUCUCACGAAUCUAGCUUCAUACUAGAGAUACUUGUCUUGCUAGGAUCGAUUCUCUCCAUAGAGAUUUCGGUUCUAUCAAGCUAUAUUGGUGUGGAUUCCAUCACAAGUUGAUGGUUUCUUCCUCUUGAGAAUGAGUUCCCUUUUUGUGUGGAUAAACUGAGAUUCAAUCACCAAGUGAUUGUUUACUCUUUAUUAUGAGCUUAGUCUCUUCAAUUCCAACAUGGUAUCAGAGCAGGUUGCUCUCUUGGAACUCUUAAAAUCGUUCUCAAGUCAUUUUAAAUUUCUCUUAGUUGUUAAAUUGCUUAGCUUCUUUAAAGGUUUCAGCUUUAGACUAGAUUCUUUAAAGUUUCAGCUUUUAUUGUUAAAAUCGUUUCUCUAGCAGCUCAAUGUUGAGAAAAGCUUGGAUUCUGGUCUUGUUAAAGUUCUUAGACCAAGCAUGUGAAGAGAAAUUGAUGAUUCCAUUGGACAAACUGUUUUGUUCCAAUGGUUUCUUUAAAAACUAGGCCACGAAAAUCAUCUUCAAUAUGGUAUUUCGUGGUUCUUUAAAGUCACCGGAAAACUCUUGGUCAUGAGUUAUUUCGGUGUGUUUAUGUCUUAAACCGGUGGGUAAAUGAAUUGCCCAACGGUCCAUAUUGUUUCAACCAUUAAAGCACCAAACUCUUGAUGAUUAUUGGAUGCCUUGGUUGUUAAAGCUUCCGCUUAACUCUCUAUUCUCCAUUCUUCUUUAUUGUCUUUAUACUAUUAUUCUCCUUUAUUUCUGUCCAUUCUACACUAAUCUUUCACCAACUUUGUCUUUGUUGCCCAUUAACUCUAAUCUAUUUUGCAAGAAAUCGCUUGUUUCAUGAAGAGGAGGCGAAUGCAUUUGUUAGAGAUUAAGGGCUGGAUAAUCUGGACACUUUAAGUUUGCGGGAGGGUUAGAACCAUUCACCAUCAGACUUGAAGUCCAUUAGGCGAACAAACCGCACAAGUUCAAGCCUUCUUCGAAUAAAGGCUGUUCCUAAACUCUACUCUCAUUUCAUGAUAUUCUUCAUUAAACCAUUGCCUUAGAAUUCACAGCUUAAUAUAUUCAUGAAAUCCUAAUUGUUGCUUAAUAGUCUUGAUAUUCCUCAUUUGAUAUUCUCUUUGAUAUUCCUUAUGGCAAAACUUAAUCUUUUCUUCUUUAUCUCUUGUUUAAGGGUGAAGGAGACCAUAAGAGCCUCAAAGAGACCAAUGAGAGCCUCAAGGAAGUAAAAGUGGACAAGGAAAGGAUUCAGAACAAGUCAUGAAGGACUAAGAAAGUGAAGAGUAGAGCCGGUUAUAUUUGAAGUCCAUUUAGACGAUCCAACCAAGUCAAAAUUCAAGACAACCCGAAGAAGAAAUCUGGCCAGCGAACUCAAGUGGUUGUUAGAGAGGAAGUGACAUUGGUGGACGAUCAAAUUAGAGAAGAAAUCUGGUGGGAAUGCUGAAUCAAGCUCACGCAUUCAAGUGUCAAAGUCAUGGAGCUCAAGAUUGAAUGUGCACAAGACUUCAAAGUCAUUGAUGUACAAGGUUUCAAGGCUCGAAAAGGGUUAAAACCAUCAUGGUUUAACAUGUUCUAAGAAGCGAUUUAGAGACCUCAAGAAGAGAGCUCAAACCGCAACAAAAGUUCAGUUUGAGUAGCCAUGGAGUCCACGAAGUAGACAACAUGAUUGGUACUCGUUGGAAGUAUCAUGGCGUCUUGGAGUUAGACCUUGAAGAACCCGGAGUAGAAAAUAAUGGCUACCCGUGUUGAAGAAAGGGAGCGGCUUCAAUUCUCAUGCCCAUUCUGGUUACUAAAUCCCACAUACUCUCAACCUCAACUCAAGAAAACAAAGCUAAGAACUUUGUCCAUUGGCACUCUUGAGUCUAUACUCUUUAUUCUCUUAUUCUUGGUAACAUACACUUUCAUUUUUGUCUCUUAUUCUCAGGCUUAUGCCUUCCAUCUCUUCUUGAGAGAAUUCCAAGAAGAAAUGGCGACCACAAAAUCAAAGCCCUUGAAGAAGAGACUCACGGAGGAAAGAAGGGGGAAGAGAACCAUGGGAUGUCUUUGAACGAAAUGUUCAAAGCAUUUAAAAUCAUGAUGAAUCCAAAAGUCCUCUUCAAAUUCACGUUGAAGAAGUUCUCUCAAGGGAUAAAGAAAAGAAGCCAUCAUCAAGAAUGGCGAUUCAAACCAAAGGCUGUGCUCUAAAACUCUACUCUAUUUAAAUUCAUUACCGUAGUUCAAUUGCUAGUCUUUAUGCUCGAAUAUGUUUCUCUUAGACUUGUCACAUUCUUAAAAUUUUCUUUGAUAUUCCUCAUAGCAUAUACUUAUACACUCUUCUUUAUCACUUGUUUAAAGGGUAAAGGAGACUAUGAGAGCCUCAAAGAAAUUCAAGAAGUGCAAGAUUGGAGAUCAUGAGAAGCGGGUUAAAAGGCAGUGUAGCGGUUCAAAGACUUGAAGAGAAGAGAGCCGGUUCUUAACAAACCAAGAUCAUAGCGACAUCAAGGACCGUGAAGGCUAUACUCUUUUUCCCUUAACAAAGUUUUCUUUGUUAAGGUUUUUAAUGAGGUAGUCGACACGAGUCCACGCUUGAUCUCUGGUCCUCAUGUUGUCCCGACGAUCAAACGUGCGGGAGGGUAUUAAAAUAUAAGAAGAAGUAGAAAGGAGUCAAGGCCGAAGUCAUGACGACAAGGCCGAAGAUCUCCAAGCUUGACCUUUGGUCCUUAUUGUCCCGACGCUCAAGCUUGCGGGGGAGUAUUGAACCAAGUGAAGAGAAAGAUCUCCAUAAGAUAGCCGUGCAAAGCUCGGGUCACUUCAAGGUAUGAAGGCCGGAAGUGCAAAAUUGGUGUAAAGUCACCAAGACACCAAAGUGCAAAAUUGGUGUAAACACAUAAGACGAGUCAAGGCCAAAGAUCUCAAGACAAGGCCGAAGACGAGACACCAAUGUGCAAAAUUGGUGUCAAAGUUAUCAAGACCCAAUGUGCAAAAUUAGUGUCAAAGUUAUCAUGACCUAAUGUGCAUAAUUGGUGUCAAAAGUAUCAAGACCGAGGAUGCAAAAUGAAGUCUAUGCAUGAAUACAAGAAUGUGCAAAACUCGUGUCACCUAGUGAAGAUAAUAAUGUGCAAGAUUGGUGUCACAUAAGAGAAGCCCAUGAGAGACCUUCUAGAAGACCUAAGAGCCGUUGGAGACAAAGGAAGGAGACUCAAAUUCAAACUUGGUCUUGGUCAAAGUUGGACCACAACCUUCUAGAAGCUAUUUUGAAUUCAAUGGUGGAGAUUUAAAGAGAGAAAAGAAGGGCUAGGAUUAAAGGGAAUUGUGAGACAUCUUAACCUAGUUCUCCUUCUAUAUAAAGCCUUGUAAUCUCAUUGUAAAGGUUAACACAUCAAUAAGAAAAGAC